rfam:Gossypium raimondii Chr03_contig_286, whole genome shotgun sequence.
AACCCAUGGUGAGGGCACCUUCUCAAUAAAUCCUUGUACCCCUCCCACGCUUCAUAUAAAAUCUCUAAAUCGAUCUGCAUAAAAGAGGAGAUAUCAUUCCUCAACUU